UUAGGGAACAAAUCAUAGGAUUAGUAUGUAAUUGAUACAAUCAUAAUUAAGGGGAUCUCCUUCCAUAUGUAAAUUAGGGCAACUCUCUAUAUUAAGAGAGUUGCUCCAUUCGAUCAAUAACAUACACAGAAAUUCCUCCAACCAUGUCUUCUAUCGUUUCUUCCCUCUCUCGGUUAUCACAAUUCAGCAGCGUCGACGGCCGAUUUUAUCUGGGUUCCUAAAUUGCCCUCCAAUUUUGAGUAUAUUCUGUCAAAGCUGCCUGAUCAGGCUCUACGGGACAAGGGGAAGAUGGACAUCUACGCCCGGCUGUGCAGGCCCAUCACCUUCGAUGGUGACACGAAGGAAGUGUGGAUUGAUAAGAGAAGUGGAGGCGUCUGUUUGGCAAUAUGACUUUCCUUCUCGUAUAUGUGUGUUUGUGUGUGUGUGUGUGUGUGUGCGAGAGAGAGAGAGAGAGCAGGAAGCAUCUAUACCUUGUUUAUGGCAUAAUUCAUUUCUUGAUGUCUAUGCAACCUUUCUGUCAAUUUGUUGGUUAUAUUCUGUUAUUAGUGGAGGAGAGUAUCCAACUCUGAGCUAAUGUUAGAUGCGUGUGUGUGUGUGUGUGUGUGUGUGUGAGAGAGAGAGAGAGAGAGAGAGAGAGAGAGAGCAUCCAAUUCUGAAAAUAUGUCUUUACUAUCUGUCUGGAAAUUGAUUACAUAGUGUUGUUUAUGGGAGAGAGCAUCCAAUUCUGAACUAUCUAUCUGGAAAUGUGUUGAUGUUGUGAAUGUGUAUGUAAACCAACCUUGAUAUCAUUUGCCAUUCCUCAUUGCUGCAGAUUCCAAACAGUGGCAUACCUUCAGCAAAUCUGGUGGCUGCAAGUGGACGGGGAGCUCGACUUCCAGCUCCCCAAAGGGACAUACAGUCUCUUCUUCCGACUCCACCUAGGGAAAGUCGGUAAGAGGCUAGGCCGCCGUGUCUACAAUCACGACAAUGGGCAUGGCUGGGACCUCAAGCCAGCACAGUUCCAGCUGAAUGGCCAUCGUGCAGUCACCCGCUGCAUGAUCGAAAACUUAGGAAACUGGGCCAACUACCACGUUGGGGAGUUUGUUGUUGAGGACCCAAACUCAUCGACCAAGGUCAAGUUCUCCCUCACUCAGAUUGAUUGCACACACACCAAAGGUGGCCUGUGUGUGGACUCUGUGCUGGUACGUCCGAGUAGUUUAGGGAAGGAGGUCCUCUCCGUGGAUGGCGAAACGUGUAGGAAGCCUUUUGUUGGUUGCUGAUGAGUGAUGAUAGAAUUAGAGGUGAUUGGUAGGAAUUUGAGAUGUAUAUAUCUGCAAUGUUUUCAUGUGUGUUCUGUGAUUCUUGCAAUUUUUGGUGGUAGUUAGAUGGAUGCAUCUUGUGUGUAAAUAUUCAGGAAGUCUGAUGUUACUUUUUUGACAAGAUUAAGGUUUUUGGUCUCUGGUUCUUUUGA